UUGGUAUCUUAGUGGCGGACGGGUGAGUAACGCGUGGGUAACCUGCCUUACACUGGGGGAUAACACUUAGAAAUAGGUGCUAAUACCGCAUAACAGGGAAAGAUGCAUGUCUUUUCCUUAAAAACUCCGGUGGUGUAAGAUGGACCCGCGUCUGAUUAGCUAGUUGGCGGGGUAACGGCCCACCAAGGCGACGAUCAGUAGCCGGCCUGAGAGGGUGAACGGCCACAUUGGGACUGAGACACGGCCCAAACUCCUACGGAAGGCAGCAG
rnacentral:rRNA from 1 species